rfam:Marine gamma proteobacterium HTCC2080 1100755000537, whole genome shotgun sequence.
GGGGGCGUUACGGAUUCGACGACGGUAACGAAACCUGCGGUGCAUGCCGUGAUGGUAGCCAAUCACGUAAAUCCAAAGCUGCAAACUAUUAGUUGCCAAUGACGACAACUACGGUGCACAACUGGCUGCGUAAGUAGCCCUUUGUAACACCAUCCAGGUGCUUCGGCCCUGGCGGUCUAUAGUAAGGUGCCAGUACCGCGCUUGUGACUGUCAUAUAGAACUGGACCGCAGUCGGUUAUGUCCCGGGAUCGACUGUCAAACUUUACGGGGCUCGCGGCCAACGUCCUGACCGUUGGGCUGUUUGCCGUUAAAUUAAUUAACGGAAACUAAGCAUGUAGAGCCAAAGGCAGAGUACUGGCGGACGCGGGUUCAACUCCCGCCGCCUCCACCA